rnacentral:misc_RNA from 1 species
GAAAAUCAAAGAACUAAAGCAUACAAUGAGUACUACUUUAAAGGUAUUGAUGUUCCCAUUUUUGGCUUAUGGACACAUAUCUCCAUAUCUAAACGUAGCUAAGAAGCUUGCGGACAGAGGAUUCUUGAUUUACUUGUGUUCAACACCGAUAAAUCUCAAAUCCACCAUCAACAAAAUCCCCGAAAAGUAUGCUGAUUCGAUUCAGCUUAUCGAACUUCACUUACCAGAAUUACCCGAACUUCCUCCUCAUU